UAAUCCCUUAUCUCUUUUUUAAACAUAUUAUUUCAAUGUUUUAUGGUAGGGAGUGAAAGUUGAGACGAAGAAGCAGCCAAGGCGAUGACGAAAUGUGCAGCAAUGGUUGUAGUAGGUUACAGGCCCCUGCUGAGGCCCACAUGCUUGGCUUCAACUUCCAAAAUCAACACAGAGCAGCUUCGUUACCAGCUUGACCAACUACAUGCCGAAGCUGAGACGACCCGAACCAAAGCUAGCAAUGCUAGAUUGAGGUUUUUGCGGUUAUCAGAGGCAGCUGAAAAGCUUCGGCGCCAGGCUGCUGUUAGUAUUCAGAGGGGAAGCGAAAAUGAGGCAAGGGACCUGCUUUUUCAGAAGAAGAAGGUUCUGCAAGCGUUGGAAAAGUCUAAGAGUCGGAUUGAGUUAUUGGAUAAGCUUUCUACAAAGUUUAAUGAGGCAAUAACUGUCAAAGAAACUCAACUAAUUGGGAACAUUGCGUCAGAGACAGAAAUUGGUAGAGAAGAUGAUUCUACUCCAGUUUGGAUUGUAUCUCCAAAGGAGCGAACUGCAAAUGAUAAAAUUCAGAAUAAGGACAUUGCUCAUGAUGCCCGAACACUCUGUGAAGAUCAAAAGUUGCUGCUCCAUACAGAUGAUCCGGUGGAGCAACCUGCCAAUGAGGAGCUAGAGGAACAUCAAGCAUUUCCAAGUUUCAGUGCAUUUAUUGAAGACACUAUAAAUAGUAGCUUGGCAGCAAUAUCAACUUAUGAGGACUUCUUGAAGCAUUUGGAACAACAGCUCAAGAAAAUUGAACAAGAACUUGUUACAGUAUUGAAUGUUUCGACAUUGUUACUGGACGAUGAGAAGCCAAAAAAUUUGAAGGUGCAGCAAACAAGGGAACUUCUUGAGAGUAUCCUUGACAUAAGACAGAGAAUUACAAAUAUGAGGCAGACGAAGGUAGAGAUCAGUUAAGGCUUCACUAUAUCUCAGUCAGGUUCCUACUACCAGUUACUAAAGAAAACUGAGGCUAUCAGCAUAAAGUUACUUAAAACUGAGACACAAUUGGGACAAGUUGUCAAUGGCUACUCUUUAUUCACGAUCAUGAUGUAAAUAUUUUGGGACAAGCAGAAGAAAUCUCUUGCCCACUGCUAAAACAGAACAAAGGAUCAACCUGGCAAAAGCCUAGAAGGUUGCAUUGUUCUUCAUAGGUUUAGGCUUUGGACUCCUCAGCCUUUUUCCUCCAUUCCUAUAAAAUGUAUUCCUUGCUAUUAACGGGUUGAAAAUAUGCAGAAAUUCAGGUUUUUCUGCAGUCGCAUGUUGCGCUAUCAGAUUUCUUGCUAACGUCAACCUUUUGCAAGCUUGCAGUAGAAAAUUUGACUGUGAACAUUUGUGGAUAUAAAAUAAGUGAAGUCCUCAACAAUAAUGACGCUUAAUGAAAAGCUAAGUACCACACUGCCCUGUGCUUUAUAUGGAUCCCAUCCUAGAUUAUGAUCAUGACCUUUCCCUCCAAUCUGAUUCAAGUAACAACAGUUUGACCAGAUAAACACUAUAUCUCCUUAUGUUAGUCUUGCUCCUGCUGAUCUUUGUUGCUCUUUCAAUUAUCAGAAGAGGUAUUAAUCAUGCUGGUUCAUUAUACAUAUGAACUUCAUUCAUUCUAAACUGUCAUGGCAGCAAUUGAGGGAAUCUUUAUGACCAUGAAUUUUAAUU